AACGAACGCUGGCGGCAUGCCUAACACAUGCAAGUCGAACGAGACCUUCGGGUCUAGUGGCGCACGGGUGCGUAACGCGUGGGAACCUGCCCUUAGGUUCGGAAUAACUCCCCGAAAGGGGUGCUAAUACCGGAUAAUGUCUUCGGACCAAAGAUUUAUCGCCUUUGGAUGGGCCCGCGUUGGAUUAGCUAGUUGGUAGGGUAAAAGCCUACCAAGGCGACGCUCCAUAGCUGGUCUGAGAGGAUGAUCAGCCACACUGGGACUAGGACACGGCCCAGACUCCUACGGGAGGCAGCAGUGGGGAAUAUUGGACAAUGGGCUAAAGCCUGAUCCAGCAAUGCCGCGUGAGUGAUGAAGGCCUUAGGGUUGUAAAGCUCUUUUACCCGGGAUGAUAAUGACAGUACCGGGAGAAUAAGCACCGGCUAACUCCGUG
rnacentral:rRNA from 1 species